AUGUUAUGGGCAGAUAAGGCAUGGCUGCUGCUUCCCCGUAGAACUAGGGCACAGGUGUUGUCACAGCAGAGUGCUACCUCCCCUCCCCAGGACCCCUCGUCAUCUUGGCCAUCCGUGUCCUGCAGGGGGUGCCGGGCCGACCCAACACAGACUGGGGGACUUGGACCUGCUGGGGCAAACACGCUCCAGCGCAGUGUCCCCACUCUGGGGAGGCAAAAGCUUGGCCUCCAAAACAUGAACAAUUCAGGGGCUCCCUGCCUCCUCCAGGCCCCUCUGGUGUGUCGCUGGCAGAAUCUGGGGCUUAAGGAACAGGGCAAGCUGAAUAAUCAAGACCAUGGAACAAAACUGGUGCUGGAAUCAGGCAGGCUCCGUCUUCAUGGUCUCUUUAGCGGUCCGUCUCCAGGGAAGCUGAUUGGAGAGGAAAGAUGCAGGGAAGCGGCCCGGCGCUCGAUCAGCUGUGUCACCAGGAAACGGGGAGGAAGUGCUGUCCCCAGGCUGGUGCUGGUCAGCGUCUGCAGUCUGCUCUUGCUGGGCAUCUGGCUGUCCCUCGGAGGAGAGGCUCCAGGUGCUGGCCCCUCUCCAUGCGAGAAGAAAGGCAUGGCCAGAUUGACGGCGAAACUGCAAAAUGGCAGCGGGUCUGAGAGGAACACAGAUGAGCUCCAGUCGAUAAAGCUGCACCUGCAGAAGCGCAGCCGCCGCAGAGGCAGGACACCAGGGGACACCUGAGUUUGUCCUUGUGUCGUGUUUUUUAAAGUCUUAGAGGCAGAAUCAAAGGCAGGGGCUCGCCAGUAUGUCGCGGUGCCAAACACCAGAGACCGAGCCCCCCCGCCCAUAAAUUGGGGUGGUUGAUUUCACCUCCAUCCUGCAGGCCUGGGUGUGUUUCUUAUUUGCUCAUCUUUUACUGGCAUCACCCCCUCCCCGGGUCCUGGGGGAGAUCUGCAGGCUCUGGAACGUUGCCUUUGAACAUAUCCUGGAUUCGAGCAUCAAGAGGAGGUGGCGAGGGCUGGGGGGCCCCCCUGACGUGCGGCUCCAGCAUCAGCCUCUGCAAUUACCAGCCCGAUUCCCACAGACGGGAACUGCAAAGUGUGAACCACAUGGGCGCAAGGCGGUGACGGUGUCGGCCGCAAAUGACUCUCGGCCCUGCUGCCACGGCCGCCGUCCUCGCCCUCUGCUUUUCACCUUUUAUCCUUCUCAGCGUCAUGACUUAAUCCACUCUAAUGAGGUGACUCGACUGCCAAAACCCAGCGGCCACGCGGCUCUCUUCUGGCACAGCGUGGGGGUUCGUAAGAAGCCGAGCAAGAAGGGGCUUUGUCAGGCUUCCAGGAGAGGAGCCAGCGCUCCUUUGACGAGGGUCCCUUCUGGCGGCAAGUUUGCUCCAUCCGCAUGCGGCCGUGCGCUGUGUCCGUCAGGGCGGGGACCCGGCAAGGUUGCCUGCCUGCGCGUUUAACUUACCGGCGCUUGAAGGACGCGGCUGGUGGCCACAUGUCACUGUUUACAACCAGCAGGUGACGGCCAACAGCGGCGAGCCUGCGAAUCCGCUCGUCCCUCUCCUUACCCAUCUGUCCACGCGUCCUGGGUUGGAAGCGCCCGAGCGGAGAUGCAGCGGCGAGGACCACGGCGGCAAGAUGGUGCUGCUGACAAACGCCCACGGAGGAGCCGGGGAGAAAAUAACCUCCUUGCGUCUAAUGUGGCAGCGAGGUUUAGCGGCGGCGGAAAGGAGAGCCGG
rnacentral:lncRNA from 1 species